rnacentral:rRNA from 1 species
AUGUCAUCAAGUUCUAUUGUUCGUAGCCAGAACCAUGGAGAUGGUAGGGAUGAGGAUCCUCCCAACCCGCCUUCGUUGACAGAGUUCAUGUUAGAAAUGGAGAGGAACAAGCGUGAGUCUAACCGUUUGUUGGCACGUAUCAAGGAGAACACCGCACAUCGGUCCAAUAAGUAUGCGACCAUUCAUGACUUCAUUCGCUUGCACCCACCUACCUUUCAUCAUUCCAUCGAGCCACUCGAUACAGAUGACUGGCUCCGUAGCAUCACUCAUAAGCUGCAUUCCGCGAGCGUAGCUAAAGAUGACAAGGUCACUUAUGCCACAUACCACCUGGAAGGUCCUGCUAGUCUUUGGUGA